GCAGUCGUGGCCGAGUGGUUAAGGCAGUGGACUAGAAAUCCCCGCACAGGUUCGAAUCCUGUCGACCGCG
rfam:Ixodes scapularis strain Wikel colony gcontig_1107728815670, whole genome shotgun sequence.